rnacentral:rRNA from 1 species
UACGUAGGGUGCAAGCGUUGUCCGGAAUUAUUGGGCGUAAAGGGCUCGUAGGCGGUCCGUCACGUCGGGAGUGAAAUCCUGGGGCUUAACCCCAGAACUGCUUCCGAUACGGGCAGACUAGAGGUAGGUAGGGGAGAAUGGAAUUCCUGGUGUAGCGGUGGAAUGCGCAGAUAUCGGGAAGAACACCUAUGGCGAAGGCAGCUCUCUGGGACGGUACUGACGCUGAGACGCGAAAGCGUGGGGAGCGAACAGG